rnacentral:rRNA from 1 species
GAUGAACGCUGGCGGCGUGCCUAAUACAUGCAAGUCGAGCGAACAGACGAGGAGCUUGCUCCUCUGACGUUAGCGGCGGACGGGUGAGUAACACGUGGAUAACCUACCUAUAAGACUGGGAUAACUUCGGGAAACCGGAGCUAAUACCGGAUAAUAUAUUGAACCGCAUGGUUCAAUAGUGAAAGACGGUUUUGCUGUCACUUAUAGAUGGAUCCGCGCCGCAUUAGCUAGUUGGUCAGGUAACGGCUUACCAAGGCAACGAUGCGUAGCCGACCUGAGAGGCUGAUCGGCCACACUGGAACUGAGACACGGUCCAGACUCCUACGGGAGGGAGCAGUAGGGAAUCUUCCGCAAUGGGCGAAAGCAUGACGGAGCAACGCCGCGUGAGUGAUGAAGGUCUUCGGAUCGUAAAACUCUGUUAUUAGGGAAGAACAAAUGUGUAAGUAACUAUGCACGUCUUGACGGUACCUAAUCAGAAAGUCACGGCUAACUACGUG